GCGCCCAUAGCUCAAUUGGAUAGAGCAAGUGAUUUCUAAUCACUAGGUUGCAAGUUCGAGUCUUGCUGGGCGCG
rnacentral:tRNA from 4 species